UGCAUUAUAAAAAAGGAAGCUAUGAAAUAGUUCUGUAUCUAGAAAACGUCUCAUAAAACGAUUUAUUUAACUAGAGGAAGAAAGACAUUCAUCAGUCCUUAGCAGACUGCUUCAUUGUAAAGACAUAAUGUGUAUUGAACAUGGAAAAUACAGAUAAACAAGUGGCUGAACCAUUACUGCAAAAGUUUACAAUUCUGUCUAUUAAGGGUCUAGGACAUUAUCGUUGUAAUAUAAAGAAGUUGCAAGCAUACCUGAAUGGCAAUCAUGUAACAGUGUCUCCAAAUAUUCUACCAGCUGACCAAGACUCUUGGACUGGAAAUACAAAUCAAACUAUCUUCACCCGUCAAUCGAAACCAAUGUCAACAAAAUUCUUCUCAGCCGUUCCACAAUUGUCAGGCAAUGAGCAGAUUUAUCGCCAUUCGUCGUGUGCACCUCAAACAGUGAGACAGAGAAAGGACAUUUCUCCUCUUAAUAUAUUAGAAUAUAGGUCCUGUUGUACAAAAUGAGUCUGUGGCGAGUGCGGUCUCAUGGUGUUUGAAGUGGAUUUCGCCUUUAUCUGCAAUGUGUGUGGUCAGUUGAUUCACAAAGGCUGCACAGACCUAUGCAAACACAGCCAUGAAUGCGUUCUUUGUGGUGGAGACCCCAACCGUAUAUAUCCGUUUUGCCACAUUAACAACUUGUCACAAUUAAUCAACGGCGAGGAUAACGGAAAAAAGAUAUUCAAAGCUCCAACAAAAACGCAUGCGGAGAAAUGUUUCCCAAUAAUAACCCGUCUACAUUGCCUUGUCGCAACCGAGGAGCGUCAUGCGACAGGCAAACUUUUCGAAAAUGGGGCAAGGGCAAGAUUGUAAACGCAAGUCUGAAGAUAUCUUACUACAGUUGAGUAAAAGAAGGAAGAUUGAAACUGAAAAACGAUUAGCGCGAAGAAACACACGGAACAAGCGGAUGCACGAAUUCAAAAAAUGGAAUCCAAACAGUUUUCCGAGAUAAAAUUGAACGCAACUGGUAACAAGCUUAAAGGUUCACAUAUACUAACGGAAACAAGUUUAGCUACAUGUGUUCACAUGCAUAUAAAUAUUGACACAUUAAAAUUGUUUCCAAUAUAUUUUUUAAUAUUGAAUGAUUAACCAUUAAGCCACA